rnacentral:rRNA from 1 species
UGAACGCUAGCGGCAGGCUUAAUACAUGCAAGUCGUGGGGCAGCAUGAGUAGCAAUACUUGAUGGCGACCGGCAAACGGGUGAGGAACACGUACACAACCUUCCUUCAAGCGGGGAAUAGCCCAGAGAAAUUUGGAUUAAUACCCCAUAAUAUAUUUGAUAAGGCAUCUUAUUAAUAUUAAAGCUGCGGCACUUGAUGAUGGGUGUGCGGCUGAUUAGAUAGUUGGCGGGGUAACGGCCCACCAAGUCUACGAUCAGUAGCUGAUGUGAGAGCAUGAUCAGCCACACGGGCACUGAGACACGGGCCCGACUCCUACGGGAGGCAGCAGUAAGGAAUAUUGGACAAUGGACGAAAGUCUGAUCCAGCCAUGCCGCGUGAAGGAUUAAGGUCCUCUGGAUUGUAAACUUCUUUUAUAUGGGACGAAAAAGGGCAUUCUUGUUCACUUGACGGUACCAUAUGAAUAAGCACCGGCUAACUCCGUG